rnacentral:lncRNA from 1 species
GACAAAAAAUGAAAAUGUAUCAAACUCUGAUGUAAUAGUGAGAUUGUAAUUUGGAAGUUAAAAUGUAAACUGAAACCGUGAUGUAAAGAGUGGCUGUAAAAUGAAUGCUUGUAAUAGCAAGUAGAUUAUGUAUUUGAUACUUCCUUAUGCAAUCUGGAUUGAUAUCCGUUCCUUGUUGGAACAUUCGUUGAUUGUUUGGAGUGCGACGCCUUGGACGUACUGGGGAGACUCUGUCAGCGUACGG